AUGAUGUGAGUUAACAUAGUGUGUUGUCCUAGCAUUGUUGUUCUAGAAAUUCUUGCUUGACAAAUUACUCUUUGCUAAGAAACUAUGUUUGUUUCUUUUUUUUUAAAACAACCACAGUAAUUGUUGCCCAGAUAAAGGAACGUAUGAGUUGGACCGUUAAGCACAUUAAGUAUGUUGCUGCUAUAGUGUGUCAAAGCCUUUUGUGCAUGUCAGUUUCAGAUGCAGGUGUCUUUGACAGGCAUUGUCUUUAACUGUCACAACAAAUGUAUUACUGAGAAACACAAAUAAUCCCCAAUAAAAGGAUGUCUAGAUGGCUCAGCUGGUUGGAGCAUGGCACUGGCAGCACCAUUGUUGUGAAGUCAAUUUAUGCAUGGUUUACAAAUACUUUGGGUGCUAAGUUGCUUUGAAUGAAAGUUUCUGCUAAAUCAUUAUACAUACACUUAUUUGACAUUCUCUGAUCAAGAUAAUUACAGUAAAUUCCCUUUGAGAAAAGGUCCAAUGGGCUUUGUAGGUGUCAUAACCCGUACAAAUAUCCGCAAUAUUCCCGCUGUACACAUUAAUAAGCAAAGAAUGGAAUGCAAGACAUGAAGCGCUGUUCUCUGGAGUCUGACUUGAUCUACUUCCACCCCGAUGACUCAGGAAUAAUCAUCCAUGUUGCACCAUAAAAUGAGUCUACCCCCCCCCCCCUAUAGUAUACUAUCAAUAUACUAUCACAGCUCAUCAAGGUGAUGUUAGUUAACAUAGUGUUUUGGCACAUAUAUAUCCAUUGGUCUUAAUACAUUUUAUGUGAGAUAUAUUUUCUCCAUCAUAGAGAUAUAAGGGUUAAAAGAGCCUUUCUUGCUGCUGUGCUGGAUUCAUAAAACCCCUUGUCUUCUAUCCUCCAUAGGCUGCCUCCCAGAUCAGUUUCACCUAAAAUAGAGGGAGGGGGUGCUUAUAUUUGUCCUGUUUCACAUACAGUAUGUACAAGUGUGUAACCUGUACAAGUGCGUGGUGUGAAAUGGAAAUGUGAUUUUUGCAUAUCCCGCUCCCCCUGAGACACCCUUGGAGAGUGGGGUAAUGGCCAGUGAUCAGCCAUUAUCGGCCAGGGAUCACCUCCUCAGGCUGCAUAGUGAAGAGACGAUUUCAUCAGCUGAAUGAUGACCCAGAGCAAGAGAUAUUCCAGACGGUGGAGUAUUAGAAUGAGCUUGACCUUCUGGCUGUUGUGGAGGUGACCCACAGAGAGGAUGAGGAUUAGGCCCAAGUCAGACUCCACACAACAACACUGGAGCGUUACUGAAGAGGGUUCCGCUUGUGGAGUCAUGGGGAUGCGACUCACAGCUACAAGCUGUUCUUUGACAGAGAUACGAUUGUUUACAUUGAACAGACGAAGAAUAAUAACUUAUAUGCCAUGUCUACAAAAUCAGUCGUGGACAAGCAGAUGAGUGAAAUGACUUGAAGCUGGGAUAAUCAUGGGACAUUCCUUUCAACUGCUAAUGAUAUAAUUCAAAAAUUAUUCCUAAAAUAGCCCUGUUGAAUAUGUUUUAAUACUUGUUUUUUUACACUUAUUUAUUUGCCAAUAAUGACUACAUGCUGUCAUCCUGUUGUUCUUU